rnacentral:rRNA from 1 species
CACGGCGCACGGGUGCGUAACACGUGGGCAAUCUGCCCUCCGAUGGGGAAUAACUCCGGGAAACCGAAGCUAAUUCCGCAUAACAUUCCCUGGACUCCGGUUCGGGGAUUCAAAGCAGCAAUGCGUCGGAGGAGGAGCCCGCGCCCGAUUAGCUAGUUGGUGAGGUAACGGCUCACCAAGGCUAUGAUCGGUAGCUGGUCUGAGAGGAUGGCCAGCCACACUGGAACUGAGACACGGUCCAGGCUCCUACGGGAGGCAGCAGUGGGGAAUCUUGCGCAAUGGGCGAAAGCCUGACGCAGCGACGCCGCGUGGGGGAUGAAGCUUCUCGGAGUGUAAACCCCUUUCGACCGGGACGAAUGCCCGCAAGGGAGUGACGGUACCGGUAGAAGAAGCCCCGGCUAACUACGUGCCAGCAGCCGCGGUAAGACGUAGGGGGCCAGCGUUGUUCGGAAUUACUGGGUGUAAAGGGUUCGUAGGCGGUGUGGCAAGUCGGGAGUGAAAUUUCUGGGCUUAACCCAGAACCUGCUUCCGAAACUGCUGUGCUGGAGUGUGGGAGAGGCGCGUGGAAUUGCAGGUGUAGCGGUGAAAUGCGUAGAUAUCUGCAGGAACAUCCGUGGCGAAAGCGGCGCGCUGGACCACUACUGACGCUGAGGAACGAAAGCUAGGGGAGCAAACAGGAUUAGAUACCCUGGUAGUCCUAGCCCUAAACGAUCAGGACUUGGGGUGCCACCCGUUCGGGUGUCGUCCCGGAGCUAACGCGUUAAGUCCUGCACCUGGGGAGUACGGUCGCAAGACUGAAACUCAAAGGAAUUGACGGGGGCCCGCACAAGCGGUGGAACAUGUGGUUCAAUUCGA